rnacentral:tRNA from 1 species
GGUAUGUGGCUUAAUGGUAGAGUGCUUGCCUAGCAUGCAUGAAGCCCUGGGUUCAAUUCCUCAGUACCA